rnacentral:lncRNA from 1 species
UAGAGACUUUAUCAUAGUACAAGAGUUCAAGGAAGAUGUCACUUUGUGAUGAAAAAUAUUAGAAUAACUAUUAUUCAAUAAUCAAUAAUUCAUAUACAAGGAUGAACUCAAUCGUCAUACUAUUGGUUUUAAGACACAAUUUUCAAUAAUGUAAUAGAAACUUUACUUUACAAUAUCACCUUUCAUCCUCCCAAGUCUUCCAUUUAGUGUCCAAUCCACCUCCCCCU